UACGGGGGGGGCAAGCGUUGUUCGGAAUUACUGGGCGUAAAGGGCUCGUAGGCGGCCAACUAAGUCAGACGUGAAAUCCCUCGGCUUAACCGGGGAACUGCGUCUGAUACUGGAUGGCUUGAGUGUGGGAGAGGGAUGCGGAAUUCCAGGUGUAGCGGUGAAAUGCGUAGAUAUCUGGAGGAACACCUGUGGCGAAGGCGGCCAUCUGGACGACAAUUGACGCUGAGACGCGAAAGCGUGGGUAGCAAACAGG
rnacentral:rRNA from 1 species